rnacentral:rRNA from 1 species
CUGCAGGCUGCAACUCGCCUGCACGAAGCUGGAAUUGCUAGUAAUCGCGGAUCAGCAUGCCGCGGUGAAUACGUUCCCGGGCUUUGUACACACCGCCCGUCAAGUCAUGAAAGUGGGCAGCACCCGAAGACGGUGGCCUAACCCUUGUGGGGGAGCCGUCUAAGGUGAGGCUCGUGAUUGGGACUAAGUCGUAACAAGGUAUC